UUUGGGUUUAUGCACGCGUCAAGAAGUUUCCGUUCUUCAGUUCCCUCUUCAGGUGUAUGAUCAUACUGCCAUCGUGCAGUCAGUGGAAGAGAAACCAGAAUACUCUCAAUCCUCCCCCCAGUCUUGAGGCCAAAUGUGGUACCGCGAUCAUAUACAAGGUUGAACUCCACAUAGCGACCUCUCCUCAGUUGUUGCCAUGCCUUGUGUUCCUCAGUAAAUGGAGUGUCCUUCCGGCG
rnacentral:misc_RNA from 1 species